UUUAAAACAUUGUACAUAACCUAAAAAUUCGAAAUAGAGUUUUAACUGAUUUUCAUAUUAUGUUUUAAAUGAUUCAUAUUCAUUCUUUCAUGUGACGUUUUCUUUAUGUUCUUUGUUUCUGCACCGUGAUAUAAUUUGGGUCAAUUGUUUCCAAACUGGACGUGCUAUUGGUGUACGUAAAUGUUUUUAAUGGCCAUACAUUGCUGCACUUUUUAAGUCUUCAACGUUUUUCUGCAUAAUUAUGUGUUAGGAGUUUUGCAUAACUGAGAAGAGAUAACAGAAAUGCCAGAGCUGGAAGUAUACGGCCUUAAACACCUUUUACUGUAUGUCACAAUACUAUUCUACCUUUUCAAUUUAAUAAACCAGAUUGGAUGGUGCCAAGAACCAACGUUCAGGACUCCGGCAGAGGAUCCUUACUUAGCUGCAAACCCAACUUCAUCUCCAGAUCCCAUCCUACCAACAUCAAUGCAAAUUUCUUCCUUUAAUUUUUUCCGUAGCCAAUCUUCUAAAACAUUUAAAGAAAACUUUACAGAUCGGUAAUUUAUAAAUUUAUAUAGGGAUCUAUCACUUACAUUGUUUCGAUCAAGCCAUUUAUAUUUCAGCUCAGCCCCAUA